rnacentral:rRNA from 1 species
GUUUGAUCAUGGCUCAGAUUGAACGCUGGCGGUAUGCUUAACACAUGCAAGUCGAACGGUAGCAGGCCUUCGGGCGCUGACGAGUGGCGGACGGGUGAGUAACGCGUAGGAAUCUGCCUCAUAGUGGGGGACAACGUGGGGAAACUCACGCUAAUACCGCAUACGCCCUACGGGGAAAGCGGGGGAGUCUUCGGACCUCGCGCUAUGAGAUGAGCCUGCGUUAGAUUAGCUAGUUGGUAGGGUAAAGGCCUACCAAGGCGACGAUCUAUAGCUGGUCUGAGAGGACGAUCAGCCACACUGGGACUGAGACACGGCCCAGACUCCUACGGGAGGCAGCAGUGGGGAAUAUUGGACAAUGGGCGCAAGCCUGAUCCAGCAAUACCGCGUGUGUGAAGAAGGCCUUA